rnacentral:misc_RNA from 1 species
CCAAUAGCGUAUAUUAAAGUUGUUGCAGUUAAAAAGCUCGUAGUUGAACUUCGGGGUUUACCCAUUGGUCAGGCUUAAUUGUCUGUACUGGUGAGAUAAAUCUCUACCUUCUGAGGAACUUUCAUGUCAUUAAUUUGGUGUGAUUGGAAAUCAGGACUGUUACUUUGAAAAAAUUAUAGUGUUUAAAGCAGGCUAACGUCUGAAUACAUUAGCAUGGAAUAAUGAAAUAGGACGGACUGAUUCUAUUUCGUUGGUUUCUAGGAUAACCGUAAUGAUUAAUAGGGAGAGUUGGGGGCAUUAGUAUUCAAUUGUCAGAGGUGAAAUUCUUGGAUUUAUUGAAGACUAACUACUGCGAAAGCAUUUGCCAAGGAUGUUUUCAUUAAUCAAGAACGAAAGUUAGGGGAUCGAAGACGAUCAGAUACCGUCGUAGUCUUAACCAUAAACUAUGCCGACUAGGGAUCGGACGAAGUUAAUUUUAUAAUGACGCGUUCGGCACCUUACG